rnacentral:rRNA from 1 species
CCCUUAGAUGUUCUGGGCCGCACGCGCGCUACACUGAUGCACUCAACGAGCCUAGCCUUGACCGAGAGGUCCGGGUAAUCUUUGAAACUGCAUCGUGAUGGGGCUAGAUUAUUGCAAUUAUUAAUCUUCAACGAGGAAUGCCUAGUAAGCGUGAUUCAUCAAAUCGCGUUGAUUACGUCCCUGCCCUUUGUACACACCGCCCGUCGCUCCUACCGAUUGAGUGUGUUGGUGAGGAGUUCGGAUUGGCUCUUAGUGGUGGUUCGCCACCACCUAGAGCUGAGAAGUUCUCCAAACCGCCCCACUUAGAGGAAGGAGAAGUCGUAACA